UGAGGAAUAUUGGUCAAUGGGCGCAGGCCUGAACCAGCCAAGUAGCGUGAAGGAUGACUGCCCUAUGGGUUGUAAACUUCUUUUAUAAAGGAAUAAAGUCGGGUAUGCAUACCCGUUUGCAUGUACUUUAUGAAUAAGGAUCGGCUAACUCCGUGCCAGCAGCCGCGGUAAUACGGAGGAUCCGAGCGUUAUCCGGAUUUAUUGGGUUUAAAGGGAGCGUAGAUGGAUGUUUAAGUCAGUUGUGAAAGUUUGCGGCUCAACCGUAAAAUUGCAGUUGAUACUGGAUAUCUUGAGUGCAGUUGAGGCAGGCGGAAUGCGUGGUGUAGCGGUGAAAUGCUUAGAUAUCACGCAGAACCCCGAUUGCGAAGGCAGCCUGCUAAGCUGCAACUGACAUUGAGGCUCGAAAGUGUGGGUAUCAAACA
rnacentral:rRNA from 1 species